UUCCGGUUGAUCCCGCCGGACCCCACUGCUAUCGAGAUGGGACUAAGGUAUGCUAGUCGAACGACCAGAACUAUGUCUGUGAGUGGCAUACCGCUCAGUAACACGUAGCUAACCUACCCUUCGGACGAGGACAACCCCGAGAAAUUGGGGCUAAUCCUCGAUAGAUGUGAUGUCCUGGAAUGGUAUCACGUCUAAAGGUAUAUCAUACACGUUUGAUAUACGCCUAAGGAUGGGGCUGCGGCUGAUCAGGCAGUUGGUGAGGUAAUGGCUCACCAAACCAUUGACCAGUACGGGCCAUGAGAGUGGUAGCCCGGAGAUGGACACUGAGACAAGGGUCCAGGCCCUACGGGGCGCAGCAGGCGCGAAACCUCCUCAAUGCACUAACGUGCGAAGGGGUUACCUCGAGUGCUAUCUGAUGAAGGUGGCUUUUCCAUGGUUUAAAAAGCCUAGGGAAUAAGAGGGGGGCAAGACUGGUGUCAGCCGCCGCGGUAACACCAGCCCCUCGAGUGGUGGGGAUGAUUAUUUGGCCUAAAGCGUCCGUAGCUUGCCAGAAAAGUUUCCCGUUAAAUCCGACGUCUCAAGCGUUGGACCGCGGGGAAAUACUAUCUGGCUAGAGAGUGGGGAGAGGUUACGGUAUUCUGGGGGGUAGG
rnacentral:rRNA from 1 species